rnacentral:rRNA from 1 species
GACGAACGCUGGCGGCGUGCUUAACACAUGCAAGUCGAGCGGUAAGGCCUUUCGGGGUACACGAGCGGCGAACGGGUGAGUAACACGUGGGUGAUCUGCCCUGCACUCUGGGAUAAGCCUGGGAAACUGGGUCUAAUACUGGAUAUGACCUCAGCAUGCAUGUGCUGGGGUGGAAAGCUUUUGUGGUGCAGGAUGGCCCGCGGCCUAUCAGCUUGUUGGUGGGGUAAUGGCCUACCAAGGCGACGACGGGUAGCCGACCUGAGAGGGUGACCGGCCACACUGGGACUGAGACACGGCCCAGACUCCUACGGGAGGCAGCAGUGGGGAAUAUUGCACAAUGGGCGGAAGCCUGAUGCAGCGACGCCGCGUGAGGGAUGAAGGCCUUCGGGUUGUAAACCUCUUUCAGCAGGGACGAAGCGUGAGUGACGGUACCUGCAGAAGAAGCACCGGCUAACUACGUGCCAGCAGCCGCCGUAAGAC